CCGUCAGCUAAGGUCCCAAAAUCUAGACUAAGUGUAGAAGGAUGUGGGAGCGCUUAGACAACCAGGAGGUUUGCUUAGAAGCAGCAAUCCUUUAAAGAAAGCGUAAUAGCUCACUGGUCAAGCGACCCUGCGCCGAAAAUGUAACGGGGCUAAGUCUAGUACCGAAGCAACGGGAUCUCGCAAGAGAUCGGUAGGCGAGCGUCCUGAAGGAGAUACACGGUAGACGGUGACGACUACUAACGGCCUUCAGGAGUGACUAUGCGGGCAUGAGUAGCGAUAAACCGGGUGAGAAACCCGGUCGCCGUAAGUCCAAGGUUUCCUGGGGAAGGAUAAUCCUCCCAUGGGUUAGUCGAUUCCUAAGUCGAGGCCGAGAGGCGUAGGCGAUGGAAAGUAGGUUAAUAUUCCUACACCACCAAGGACGGCGUUGAUGUAAGCGGGGACGGAGAAGGAUAGCUCAGCAGGCUGCAUGGUUUGCCUGUUCAAGCCCGUAGGCUGAAUUGCUAGGACCCAAUAGGGACAAACGGCGAUUCAUUAAGGCCGAGAGGUGAUGAGGUCUAGCCCUAGGCUAGGACACUGAGUAAUUCCACGCUUCCUAGAAAAGCCGCGUACGGAGCCCCUUUGGUGAUCGUACUGCAAACCGACUCAGGUGGACGGGGUGAAUAUCCCAGGGCGCGUGAGAGAACCCUGGUUAAGGAACUCUGCAAAUUGACACCGUAACUUCGGGAGAAGGUGUGCCGCUGGCGGUUAGUGACUUCGCGUCACGAAGCUGUCGGUGGUCGCAGUGAAAUGGCGGUUGUGACUGUUUACUAAAAACACAGGACUCUGCGGAGUCGUAAGACGACGUAUAGGGUCUGAUGCCUGCCCGGUGCUGGAAGGUUAAGGGGAUAUGUCAGCGCAAGCGAAGCAUUGAACCGAAGCCCCAGUAAACGGCGGCCGUAACUAUAACGGUCCUAAGGUAGCGAAAUUCCUUGUCGGGUAAGUUCCGACCUGCACGAGGGCAUAACAACAUCCGCACUGUCUCGACCAGGGACUCAGCGAAAUUACAUUGGGGGUGAAGAUGCCCUCUACCCGCGGAAAGACGGAAAGACCCCAUGAACCUUUACUGCAACUUGGCAGUGAUUUUCGGGUUGUUCUGCGUAGGAUAGGUGGGAGGCUUUGAAGCCGGGCUUCCGGGUUCGGCAGAGCCAACGUUGAAAUACCACCCUGAAUAAUCUGGAAAUCUAACCUGCGCCCAUGAUCUGGGCGAGGGACACUGCCUGGUGGGCAGUUUGACUGGGGCGGUCGCCUCCUAAAUUGUAACGGAGGCGUGCGACGGUUCCCUCAGGCUGAU
rnacentral:rRNA from 1 species